UAGGGAAUCUUCCACAAUGGACGAAAGUCUGAUGGAGCAACGCCGCGUGAGUGAAGAAGGGUUUCGGCUCGUAAAGCUCUGUUGUUAAAGAAGAACACGUAUGAGAGUAACUGUUCAUACGUUGACGGUAUUUAACCAGAAAGUCACGGCUAACUACGUGCCAC
rnacentral:rRNA from 1 species